UGUUCCACAUUUUAUUUUGUUUUCAAGUUACAUUUCAAGAAAAGGUCAUUUUUUCCCCUCAGCAAUAUCUCGAAAUUCCUCAGAUAAUACAGCAGAUAAACC